rnacentral:rRNA from 1 species
AUACGGAGGAUGCGAGCGUUGUCCGGAUUUAUUGGGUUUAAAGGGAGCGUAGGUGGGAUAUUAAGUCAGCUGUGAAAGUUUGGGGCUCAACCUUAAAAUUGCAGUUGGUACUGGUUUCCUUGAGUACGGUAUAGGUGGGCGGAAUUCGUGGUGUAGCGGUGAAAUGCUUAGAUAUCACGAAGAACUCCGAUCGCGAAGGCAGCUCACCGGGCCGGAACUGACACUGAUGCUCGAAAGUGCGGGUAUCAAACAGGAUUAGAUACCCUGGUAGUCCGCACAGUAAACGAUGAAUACUCGCUGUUUGCGAUACACUGUAAGCGGCCAAGCGAAAGCGUUAAGUAUUCCACCUGGGGAGUACGCCGGCAACGGUGAAACUCAAAUGAAUUGACGGGG